rnacentral:rRNA from 1 species
CCUACGGGCGGCUGCAGUGGGGAAUAUUGGACAAUGGGGGCAACCCUGAUCCAGCCAUGCCGCGUGUGUGAAGAAGGCCCUCGGGUUGUAAAGCACUUUCAGUGAGGAAGAACGCCUGGUGGUUAAUACCCAUCAGGAAAGACAUCACUCACAGAAGAAGCACCGGCUAACUCCGUGCCAGCAGCCGCGGUAAUACGGAGGGUGCGAGCGUUAAUCGGAAUUACUGGGCGUAAAGCGCGCGUAGGUGGCUUGAUAAGCCGGUUGUGAAAGCCCCGGGCUCAACCUGGGAACGGCAUCCGGAACUGUCAUGCUAGAGUGCAGGAGAGGAAGGUAGAAUUCCCGGUGUAGCGGUGAAAUGCGUAGAGAUCGGGAGGAAUUCCAGUGGCGAAGGCGGCCUUCUGGACUGACACUGACACUGAGGUGCGAAAGCGUGGGUAGCAAACAGGAUUAGAUACCCGUGUAGUC